rnacentral:rRNA from 1 species
CGAACGCUGGCGGCGUGCCUAAUACAUGCAAGUCGAGCGAGUCUGCCUUGAAGAUCGGAGUGCUUGCACUCUGUGAAACAAGAUACAGGCUAGCGGCGGACGGGUGAGUAACACGUGGGUAACCUGCCCAAGAGAUCGGGAUAACACCUGGAAACAGAUGCUAAUACCGGAUAACAACAGAUGAUGCCUAUCAACUGUUUAAAAGAUGGUUCUGCUAUCACUCUUGGAUGGACCUGCGGUGCAUUAGCUAGUUGGUAGGGUAACGGCCUACCAAGGCGAUGAUGCAUAGCCGAGUUGAGAGACUGAUCGGCCACAUUGGGACUGAGACACGGCCCAAACUCCUACGGGAGGCAGCAGUAGGGAAUCUUCCACAAUGGACGCAAGUCUGAUGGAGCAACGCCGCGUGAGUAAAGAAGGGUUUCGGCUCGUAAAGCUCUGUUGUUGGUGAAGAAGGACAGGGGUAGUAACUGACCUUUGUUUGACGGUAAUCAAUUAGAAAGUCACGGCUAACUACGUG